GGUUCUUUCAACAAUUUAAUGAAAACUUUUUGUUUUUUUAGGCCUACUGAAGCAUCCCAAUGCCGUUUUAUUCAAAAAACCCAAUGCUGAAUUGACUGAGUGACGAUUGAACAAAGUUAUUGAACCAAUGCCGAUUUUAUUGGCGAUUGCGUUAUGACAAAUCAGAACAAUAUUCCAGCGCAUUUUUUAAAAACCUGUAAGGUAUGGAGAGAAUUUCUGGCCAUAAAACAACACAAUAUCUACAUAUGGAGAUAAAUUGUCAUCUAAAGCAGACAUAAAAGGUUCAAUAUUCAGCCUGCCUUUUUUAUUUUGAAGGCAUUGAAGAACAGACACCCUGACCCCAAGCUUGCUUCAAAAUAUACUCCAUCCAUGCCUUAAGAUGAGAAGUUUUCAAAUCAUUUGACCAUGAUCCAAGGGUCUGAUGAAAUUUCUUAAGUGCUCAAGAAGCAAUGCAGUCACUGUCAGGGAAAUGAACCCAGAAUUUUAUAAAAAUUGAAAAAUAAAUGCAGGAUUAAUGCUUAUAAUUUUGUGUUUUUGAUUUCUUAUUGUAAAUUUAAGGCAUUUAAGGACAAGUUUGA